CAAGGCCCAUGUCGGUUGCGACUUGCGAGCUCUUCUGAGGAGCUCGGUUCAGUCACGCGAUGGCCAACACACGUGAACGGGGGAAUUUCCUGAGCGGGACAGGCGGACGUCGAUGCCUGACGUCCUGCCUCGGCAAUCCCCAUAACAGAAAGGUGCCCUGUGCUUUUCACUUUCCGACCUGAAUGAACAGCAGGAAUCAAAAGGCAAAGUGGUAACCAAAAGCGGAAUCCCUCAAGGCAGAAUGCUGUAUCUCAUUCACUGUCCUCCAAGACCACCCACGUCGUUCCUCCCAACCUUAACUUUGUGAGAAGAAUCAGCCGCAGCAGCAGAAGGGUCUGACCGCCAUGGCCUUGCUCUGCGGCACUCCGGCGCCAUGCUGUACUCCUAAGCUUGGGGGAUUCACUUGGGUGUUUCGUCGAAGACCCAGUUCCAGCAUCUCGCUCUUCACGGCUGCCUUUUCUAAAGGUUCUUCAAGGAGUGGCAGAAGUUUGAGGGUUACCAGAGCAGGUAAGAGCAAUGCAGAUCUUUGUAAGGAGCUGAAAGAAUUCCUUUUGUCAGUUGGUCUUCCUCCAAAUCGUGUGCCAUCAAUGAAGGAGCUUUCUCAGCAUGGAAGGCAAGAUCUUGCCAAUAUUGUAAGGCGAAGGGGGUACAAGUUGAUAGGUGAACUCCUCAGAGGUUCAGCAAACACUGAUAGCAAGACAGGCACAAGCACUACGGCUGAAAUUAAUUUCAUUAAUCAGCUUGAUCAGCAAAAUUCAGAAGGUCAGGAUGACAGGAGUUCUCCAUCAGAAGGUGAUCAUUUCUCUCAUCUCCAUGGUUCUAAUGAUGUAUUUCAUAGUAUUGAUGACAUCCACAAACAAGAAGAAUCUCCUCAUCCCAUAUCAUUGCAUGAAAAGGCAGCGAGGUUUGUUAUGACCGGAGAGCUGGAAUCAGCUGAAGUGGUGAUGUUAUUUGAUACAGGCACCGUGGAAUCUGACAAUAAAUUAUCCAUGGUCCAUGAUGGGGAAUAUGGACUGGAAAAUUCUGUUGCUGAAAUCAACCAACCAAUCACUUGGUUGAAUGGCUUGAAAGGAGCCACAAUCAGCAGUCCUAGUGAAGGAAGCUUGAGUGAUCAUUUUGUAGAAAGUUCAGAGUAUCCAGCGUUUAAUGAUGGGUCAACUUUUCCUCCUGGUCUCUACCCAUCCAGGCAAGAAAUUUCAACCAACAGCAAUUUUGCUGAUGCUAGUAGCUCAGUUGAAGAGGUAAAUAAGAGUGAUAAACAGCUUGAAAUUAAUGAAUUGAAAGCCAUGCUUCACCAGAAGGAGAUUGAAUUAUUAGAACUGAGGCAGCAGAUCGAGAAUGAAAAGGUUGCUUUAUCCAUUUUACAAGAAAAAGCUAAAAAUGAGGUUGACAAAGCAAUGAAGCUUAUUUCUGAAAAGGAUGCUCUCUUAAAUUCUGUUGAAGAGGAUCUGUUAGGUCUAAGAGAGGUUCGAGUUGAGUACCAUGGUGAUGCUGCAGUGGUUGAGGUAGCUGGAAGCUUCAAUGGUUGGCAUCAUCCAAUAAGAAUGGAGGCAGAUGCAACUUCAGGGAUCCAGAAUACAAGUGGAGCAAGGUUACCAAUGUCAUGGUCAACUAUUUUAUGGCUUUAUCCUGGAGUUUAUGAGAUAAAAUUUAUUGUUGAUGGCAUCUGGAAAGUAGAUUCUCAACAAGAGUGUGUGAAGCAUGAGAACAUAGAGAACAACAUUCUCAGAGUGGGCGAUUGAUAUGUUUGUGCACAAAUUUCAGCCUGUAUGGUUGGUGUAUGGGACAUAGUGCUGGAACUUCUGGAGAUUUAUGCCCAUUUUCAGCUCACCACCUGAAGUGGAUUCCCAAAAGACUUGAUCCAUGAGGGCACACAGGCCUCUUCAAUUGCCAUGAGGUGCAUGAACUUGGAACAGGGUCUCUUUUGGAAAGUUGCCUCAUGGUACUGGAAUGAGGCUGCAGGUGCAACGAGCCAGAUGCCUAUGAAACCCAUGGUUGAGGCCUGAAGCCCCUGGUUGAGACGUGACUUUCUCUGCUGUCUAACGCUUUCCUUGGAAGCUGAUGUUGGGGCAUCAACUAGGACAGAGGUGACAAACAGCAGUUUCGCACAACUGAGACGUCAAAGCCUGCAUGGCUUCGCGCCAACUGGUGUACAGAAAUUAAGGUUCUUUUGAACCGAUAAUAUAUAUUGUUCAUUAUCGUCUAUUUCUCAAGGUUGGAUUUCUCUGUCAAGUCAAAUAAAUAAACUCAGUUUUGAAUUUGUAUGUUCAUUUUUAAACUGUUAGUCGUAACUGAUAACCUGUAGAUGCCUUUUUGAAUGGCAAAUCCCAUCGAAAGCCUGAA